rnacentral:rRNA from 1 species
GACGAACGCUGGCGGCGCGCUUAACACAUGCAAGUCGAGCGAGAACCAGUCCUUCGGGACUGGGGACAGCGGCGAACGGGUGAGUAACACGUGGGUAAUCUGCCCUCGGCACCGGAAUAGCCCGGGGAAACCCGGAUUAAUGCCGGAUGGCCUCUCGCGCUCUCGAGCGUGAGAGAAAAGGUAGCUUCGGCCUCCGGCCGAGGAUGAGCCCGCGGCCGAUUAGCUUGUUGGUGGGGUAACGGCCCACCAAGGCGACGAUCGGUAGCUGGUCUGAGAGGACGAUCAGCCACACUGGGACUGAGACACGGCCCAGACUCCUACGGGAGGCAGCAGUGGGGAAUCUUGCGCAAUGGGCGAAAGCCUGACGCAGCGACGCCGUGUGCGGGAAGAAGGCCUUCGGGUUGUAAACCGCUUUCAGGAGGGACGAAGCCACUCGGGUGAAUAGCCUAGAGGGUGACGGUACCUCCAGAAGAAGCCCCGGCUAACUACGUGCCAGCCGCCGCAGUAAAAC